rnacentral:rRNA from 1 species
CGUGGGUGGUCCACUGCGCAUGACACGGCGAGAAGUCCAUUGAACCUUAUCAUUUAGAGGAAGGAGAAGUCGUAACAAGGUUUCCGUAGGUGAACCUGCGGAAGGAUCAUUGUCGAGAUGCUCGAACGAUGGGUCGACCCUGCAAAAACAUUUGCGCGCUCUGGCAGAUGCCGUGCUUAUGCUGUCUUUUAGGCAUGGCAAUUCAAGGGAUUCGUGCAAGCGUAGGUGAGCGUCGCAGGCUUUAAGUUAUUUGUGAACUCAUUAGCAUGCUUGCUGUUGCACGGUGAAUCUCCGAUAUGGGGGUCUUCUUGUGGCAUUCAUUUUUAUUACAUUUACAACUCUCGACAACGGAUAUCUUGGCUCUCGCAUCGAUGAAGAACGCAGCGAAAUGCGAUAUGUGGUGUGAAUUGCAGAAUCCCGUGAACCAUUGAGUAUUUGAACGCAAGUUGCGCUCAAGGCUGUUAGCCAAGGGCGUGCCUGCCUGGGUGUCUUUCGAUCCUUUGCGUCGCCCUUUAGAAGGCAUGCUCAAAAUUGUGGGCGUGAGGUCCUUCCUGCGGAUGCGCCUGGUGGCUCCUCGUGCCCGAGGCACGUUGGGUUAAAGAGCGGGCUUUUGUCGCCGAGCUCUUGGCAAUUUGUGGCAGUGCAUUGGUCGAGAGUGGCUGGUGUUCGGACGGACAUGCCAGUGCAGCUGAGGGAUAUGUGGUACCAACAAACCCGUCGUUCGGUUUGCCUAUUGAAGGCUGGCAGUGCGAGGUGACCUCAGGUCAGGUGCGGCCACCCGUUGAG